rnacentral:lncRNA from 1 species
UUAUUUUUAAACUAGAGACAUAGAACUUUUCUUCCCUUGUGCAGACACUUCUCCAGUUUUAAUGUUUUUUUUCUUUCUUUCUGCUUUUUAUUUCCUUCAUCUAGGACUUUUUCUGUCACCAGGUUGUCCUUUUCCCUGGGUGUGCCUCCUGCUUCAGAAUAUACCAUGUCUCUGCCCAUUCCCUGAGCUCCCAGCUCCAUUCAUUAGCUGGAUAAUAGCCUGCAACUAUUUCACCUGAAAACGUUACUUUCUUCCAGUCCAAUCUCUUAUCGCUGCUGGAGCCAAAUUGAGUUAUAAGGUCUAAAAUUAUCCCUGAGGACAACUCUGCUGAGGGGAAACCAACUAUGGAAUCCUCUAUGAAGCAAAUUUUCUGCCAGCCUCACCAUGUGAAGUCAGUCCUCCCUGCGAAUGUUGAUCAGAACUAGAUGCCCCAAUGGCAUUAAACUGCAACACUCAAACAGCACGCGGCCUCUCUCUGCAUAUCUUCCCUCAGUGCCCUGCAGCUGUGACCACCACACUGCAAGGAAACAUGGCAGACUUAAAUAUUGAAGCUUAUAUCACGAAAGACUGCCUUGGUGCACAAGAACAGUGUUUGCAGGAAAACAUCGCAGGUACAAUUAACAGCACUGAAUCUGGAGACAGGAUGAAUAAGAAGGACAUGACAGAGUCGUAGUUCCACCAGCGCACGUCAUGGAGAAGUUUCAGGAAAUUUGUCUCAUGAGGAUUAGAAAUGCUGCCAUCUGCAAUACAGACAUUUCUAUCAGCGGAUAUGACCAGGAAAACCUACUGUUUAUUUCAUGUACCUGUGAGUUUCAUGGCAGGGCUGGAUCCUCAGGGGGGAUGCCUGAGCAGGGAUCCCAUAAAGCUCUAGCAAGGACCACAGCGGUGAGGGAGGACACACUGCACCACCGCGUACAUCGUGCCCUGCAAGGGAACCCACAUGCCAGCCAGGAACCUACUGAAGACUACUUUGAAGUUAAGUCCUGUUUUUUUGUGCUUCUUUCAUGUCUCAGGAUAAUCUCAAUUCUAAGGUGUUUUUUUUUAAGAUUGCUCUUGUAA